rnacentral:lncRNA from 1 species
AGAAUGCCUCGGGCCGGCCCAACGCUUUAAAGGGACAGCACGGGGCGCGCGCUUCCCGCUUAAAAGCUUUAAUCCCCGAAUUUGACUGGUGCAGGCCCUUCUAAUGCACUUCCUAAAAACUGAAGUAUAAUAAUACAUACAGGAAAGUGCUAGUGUGCCCUCGCGUUUCCACAGACAGCACGCCCUGUACACAGACACCAGCGGCCCUCCGGGACCUGCGCAGGUGGCGUCGCCCGGCGUUGUCUCCGGAGUCGAUUCGGGCCGGGGCACCUCCCCGGGCGACCAGGCCCCUUCUUGAUCAUCGCUGGUACGGAUGAGAGCGGCAGUGGGCAUUUGGAAAGCACCUGGGGCCGCGCCCGGGCGCAGUGCCCCCAUGUGGCCUCCCACCCCGGGCGGGCAGGACGAUUCCUGCCCAUCUGGAAGACCAGGAACCUGCGCGUUCACAGGGUUCGGAAGCCCGGGCUGCGCCUUCCCGCGGGGCCGGCUGCCGGGCUGGGGGCUCUUCCCGCCUCUGCAUGCACAGAGCCCGCGGUGCACGAACCUGCUCCCCGCCAGCCCCGCGGACUGGCAGGGCCGCUCUGGAGUCACCCGCGCCCGCUCCGCAGUGCGCAAACUCACUUCGCAGCGGGCUCUCCCGGGGCCAGCCCUUCCCUCCUGGGCGGGCAUUUUCACCUCCAGGUACAAGGGGGUGGUCCCCAGAGGAGGACUCAGGGGCUUAAGGAGAAGCUGAGGCCCGGUCCUCUGGCCUCAACGACUGCACAUUCUCGCCGCCUGCUUCACUUCUUAGAGCCUUGGAGCACCGGCUCCCAAACUGCAGUCCUGGUUCCAGCCCCAAAACAAAAAUAUUUCCAGCCCUUCAGCCCUCCAGGCAAAGCAAGAUAAGGGGCGAGACCCCAGAACCCUCAGAACUCAAACCAAGUUCCCAGCUUCCACUUCCAGGUGAAUUGGUCUCACCACCUCACCCCACCCCCAGGAGAUAGAACCUUCUAGUAAAAAUGAGAAAAUCCGGCCGGGCGCGGCGGCUCACGCCUGUAAUCCCAGCACUUUGGGAGGCUGAGGCGAGUGGAUCACCUGAGGUCGGGAUCACCUGAGGCUGAGGCUGAGGCAAGGAGAAUCGCUGGAACCCAGGAAAGAGGUUGCAGUGAGCCGAGAUCGCACCAUUGCACUCCAGCCUGGGCAACAAGAGCAAAACUCCGUCUCAAAAAAAUAAAAAAGAUGUUCAGAGAAACAGUUCCAUUUACUAAGUCACUGCUGGUGGCCAAAGCCUAGUUAAUGUUCUGAAAAUCUCCAUCGUGUUUGUUCCUCUUCUGUGAUUCUUAUUUUCUCUUCUAUUUUCACCUGCCAUAUUUUUUCCUGAGGCUGACAACUGUUUGGUAGGAUAUAAGAGGAUUUAAAACUUAGUAAAGCAAAUUACUUGCCUUUGUUAAA